UUGGGAAAGGUGGGAAGAAGGCAGCUCAUUUCCUUAUCUUCUUUCUGCUCAGACAGAGAGAAGACAUUACAAGAGGGGACAACAUUCCCCCUCCUCAUCCCAUCCCGUCCCAACACUUGUGGCUCUCCGGGCCAGAGGCUCCCAGGACGGUUGAGGCGUUGGGCAACCAAUCGAUCAAUCAGAGGUCUGCAUCCUGCCGGAGGGAGAGCUGGGUUUCCUGCCACCGGACCAUGGGGUCACCCGCCCAGCGAGAGGGCCGGACCUCCGCCAUUGUCUCGGACAUCACCUUCCCACCCCCGAAGUGAGGGUGAGGCUCAGGGGGUGGAGCCAGUAGGCUCAGAAUACAGCAACCAGCCUUUAUUGGGAGUGAGAAGAGGGCAAUGAAGCCACCUUCGUUCAGUCCAGUCUGAUGUCCUCAUAAAAAGGUGGGCUUUUUCUUGUUGUCCCUUUAUAUCCAGAUCAUGGUUCCUUUAAAUCUCCUUUUAUCCAUGUGCUAUUAACUCCCUCUCCCUGUCUGCUGACCCUCCCACCUCUCAGUACAGU
rnacentral:lncRNA from 1 species